rnacentral:rRNA from 1 species
AACGAACGCUGGCGGCGUGAAUAAGACAUGCAAGUCGAACGGGACAGACCGAGUAGCAAUAUUUGGAAUGUUCAGUGGGGAACGGGUGCGUAACACGUGGAUAACAUUCCGGAAAGGAGGGCAUAGCCCAGCGAAACUUGGCUUAAUACCGCAUGUGGCCGCAAGGCUAAAGACGGGGACCGCACGGCCUGUCCCUUUCCGAUUGGCCCGCGGCCUAUCAGCUUGUUGGCGGGGUAAUGGCCCACCAAGGCUACGACGGGUAGCUGGUCUUAGAGGACGACCAGCCACACUGGAACUGAGACACGGUCCAGACACCUACGGGUGGCAGCAGUCGAGAAUCUUUCACAAUGGGGGCAACCCUGAUGGAGCGACGCCGCGUGGAGGAUAAGGUCUUCGGAUUGUAAACUCCUGUCAUGCGAGAACAAGGUACUCAGGCUAAUAACCUGAUUGUUUGAUGGUACCGCAAGAGGAAGAGACGGCUAACUCUGUGCCAGCCGCCGCCGUAAAAC